UGCUGACACUGGUGCCGGAUCUGCU
rnacentral:piRNA from 1 species